rnacentral:rRNA from 1 species
GAUGAACGCUAGCGGCAGGCUUAAUACAUGCAAGUCGAGGGGCAGCAUGAAUGUAGCAAUACAUUUGAUGGCGACCGGCAAACGGGUGCGGAACACGUACACAACCUUCCUAUAAGUGGGGAAUAGCCCAGAGAAAUUUGGAUUAAUACCCCGUAACAUAAUGAUGUGGCAUCACAUUAUUAUUAUAGCUACGGCGCUUAUUGAUGGGUGUGCGGCUGAUUAGAUAGUUGGCGGGGUAACGGCCCACCAAGUCUACGAUCAGUAGCUGAUGUGAGAGCAUGAUCAGCCACACGGGAACUGAGACACGGGCCCGACUCCUACGGGAGGCAGCAGUAAGGAAUAUUGGUCAAUGGACGCAAGUCUGAACCAGCCAUGCCGCGUGAAGGAUUAAGGUCCUCUGGAUUGUAAACUUCUUUUAUCUGGGACGAAAAAAGGCUAUUCUUAGUCACUUGACGGUACCAGAUGAAUAAGCACCGGCUAACUCCGUGCCAGCAGCCGCCGUAACAC